CGUUGCUACCAUGAGGAAAUUCUAAAAUUAGAAGAUUCCAGAAGUAGCAUUAUUAUUCAAGCCUGUUUCUUUAUUGGGGAAGAACCAAUGAGGGAUGAAUUCAUCAAUUCUUUGUAUGAGUAAUGAAGAUGCAACUAUAGAUGACAUAAUUGCUGGGACAUCAUUUGACGUUUCUAGAUCAUAAGAGGAAAAGUUUCUUAAUAAAUACUGUUGAAGAAAAUGCAUCAUUGAAUUCGGACACAAAAUCAACGAGGAAAAUAAACUUUUCUCUCAGAUGUUGACAUAUGUAAGAAACUAGGAAAUAAGCCUAUUGUGUAAAAUGACCUGCAAAAAAUAUAAAUGAGACGGUCUUCUUAAGCCAGUACAAUAUUAACAAAAAGUACAGCAGGACAACAGCUGGAUGUAGCUGAAGAACAAGGGCUGGUUACAUGCAGUGAGGUGCAGGUCAGCAUGUUGAAGAAUAAAAGGGAGGUGGAAAGUAAGAGUUCAUUCUU